rnacentral:lncRNA from 1 species
CCCAAGUAUGGCCUGGGUUCAUUUAAUAUAUAAAUAUAAAAACCUAGAAAAACCUAGUCUAGAAAAAUAGCCCAAGACCUAAAAACAACCAAGAAACCCUAAUGCCCUAAGGCGCCGCAGCCUCCAUGUGCACCUCAGCGUGCACAUCGCCCAAGGGUCAGUUCCUCUGCCGACCUUGCACCAGAAAGGCAAAAUUUGCCCUCUUUGACCUCCUUCCUGACCUGCAAA